rnacentral:rRNA from 1 species
UACGUAGGGGGCAAGCGUUGUCCGGAAUUAUUGGGCGUAAAGCGCGCGCAGGCGGUCUUUUAAGUCUGGUGUUUAAGCCCGGGGCUCAACCCCGGUUCGCACUGGAAACUGGAAGACUUGAGUGCAGGAGAGGAAAGCGGAAUUCCACGUGUAGCGGUGAAAUGCGUAGAGAUGUGGAGGAACACCAGUGGCGAAGGCGGCUUUCUGGCCUGUAACUGACGCUGAGGCGCGAAAGCGUGGGGAGCAAACAGG